rnacentral:tRNA from 1 species
CGUUAUCGUUUGAGAUUCGAACCCAAGACUCUUGUAUGCUAGACGAGCGUGCUACCAACUAAACAACAUAGC